GACACCACUCGCCCCGCCUUCUCUUUCGAGAGACUGCGGCGGCGGACUCUGCGUGUUCCGGAGCGCGAGCUCCGAGUGCACCGAACCUCGUGAACGAGACCCCCCCCGCGCUUGGACGAAGCGCAAGGAUUGUUGACGGCAUGUUUCUCCGAGCGGUCUAACGAUCGAGCGGCGGGACACGACUUCGUACUUUCCUAAACUGCCAACGGCCUGUUAAACCGCGGAGGAGGCCUAUACCUAGUUUCCGGUCAUAACUGCCCCUCUCUUUCUUUCUUACAAGAGCAAGAGAGAGGUCGACCCAACUUUCGU
rnacentral:misc_RNA from 1 species